UGAAGCCCGUCAGACUGGGAUGUUCAUGCUGCACAAAAGAGCAGGGACACACAGGAGCCUCUUCAGUGCGAAAGGCUGCCGCUGUUUGUUCAGGCUGCUGAGGGGCUUCACAUGCUGACUGACUGUCUGGCUGUUGGUGGGUGCUGAGCUGCUGAUGAAGGUGAGGGGCAGCGUGGGUGCUGUUAUUAAGGAAUCCUGCUGGGUGCUCGUCAACUUCCCUGAGGACCCGUUAACUUCUAGAGUUGUUGACUGAUCUGUGAAGCUCCAGCAGCAGAAAUGAUCAUCAGACUGGGAAGACUGACACCAGGAUACUUCCGUCUCCUGCAGCGUCAGGUGUCAGGUGAGGUCCGGAUGCAGCCUCAGAGCAGCCUCAUCGAUCCCAUCGCCAUGGCGAUGGCCACACUGGGGAUGGGAGUGUCUCUAUACAGCGCCAGACAGAUGUCAGACAGGGUCCAACUGAAACAUCACCACGCCUGAGAUUAGCAGAGGGGGGGAAAAAAAACACCCAGCAGCAGCAGAGCGGCUGUGUGUGUGUGUGUGUGUGUGUGUGCGCGUGUGAUUGUGGUGUACGUCGCAGAAGGUUUGAGAUGGAGGUUGGAGAGAGUUUUCAUGUGUUUGUGGUGUUGAUUGAAGGAAAGUCUAAGUGUCGCAGCAGAGAAAAAGUGAGUCAGUGAUCGGGAAGUUUUGUCAUUAAGUCGAAAGGUUACACUUUCUGUCAAAUAUAAAAGAGAGAGUUGUAGUUUGAACACUUAAAGUAAUUGUAUUUAAACCAAAUAAAUGAGCAUAUGACGGCUUUGUAGCUAAAACCUUCAGCUAGUCCCAAUAUUUUGUACUUGUAAACAUUGUUAAAUGAGAAUGUAGGAAAAUCUCCAUUUGUUGCAAGCACCUUAGUCAAAAGAUCUCAAAGUAGCUUCUUCCCUUUGAGUAUUUAUAAUAGAAUGAGCAUUCCAGCUGUUACAAAAGACAUUUUAUCAGGGCUGCUUAGGUUUGCUUGAUUAAAAAAACAUCACUUUUUACCGGAAUUUAAUAAAGAUAAUGUCUGUAAAUGUAAAAUGUCACUUAAACUCACUUGGUAAUGAAUCACAGUUGUUGAAUAAAUGUUCUUCUCAGUUAAAGACGUUCACUGUUUAUAAAAUCUGUGUGCAGAUAUCUAAAGAGCGAUGUGUUUUUUUGUAACGUUCAACCAGCUCUGUAGGUCUCAGGCUUC